UCAACCUCUCAAGCUUGGCUUGUCGUUGGACCUUGCAGCUGCCGGUAAUCGGCGGGGGGCCGGUCUUCAACCCAGUGGCGGAGUUCGGUAUGGACCCCGGAUACAACGAGCUCUCUAGCAUGUAUCAAGGUGGUCCGCCGACCUAGCCUCGUCGAAAAGUCUUAACCAU
rnacentral:misc_RNA from 1 species